GACGAACGCUGGCGGCGUGCUUAACACAUGCAAGUCGAACGGGCUCUGUCUGGCUGUGUGCUGGGUGGGGUUAGUGGCGAACGGGUGAGUAAUACGUGAGUAACCUGCCCUCUUCUUUGGGAUAAGCCUUGGAAACGGGGUCUAAUACUGGAUAUUCCUGUCUGGUCGCAUGGCUGGGUGGGGAAAGUUUUUUCGGUGGGGGAUGGGCUCGCGGCCUAUCAGCUUGUUGGUGGGGUGAUGGCCUACCAAGGCGUCGACGGGUAGCCGGCCUGAGAGGGUGACCGGCCACACUGGGACUGAGAUACGGCCCAGACUCCUACGGGAGGCAGCAGUGGGGGAUAUUGCACAAUGGGCGCAAGCCUGAUGCAGCGACGCCGCGUGGGGGAUGACGGCUUUCGGGUUGUAAACCUCUUUCGUCGGGGGACAAGGCUCUGCUUGGUGGUGGGGUUGAGGGUACCCGGUGAAGAAGCGCCGGCUAACUACGUGCCAGCAGCCGCGGUAAUACGUAGGGCGCGAGCGUUGUCCGGAAUUAUUGGGCGUAAAGGGCUCGUAGGCGGCUUGUCGCGUCUGCUGUGAAAAUGCGGGGCUUAACUCCGUACGUGCAGUGGGUACGGGCAGGCUAGAGUGCGGUAGGGGUGACUGGAAUUCCUGGUGUAGCGGUGGAAUGCGCAGAUAUCAGGAGGAACACCGAUGGCGAAAGCAGGUCACUGGGCUGUUACUGACGCUGAGGAGCGAAAGCGUGGGGGAGCGAACAGG
rnacentral:rRNA from 1 species